rnacentral:rRNA from 1 species
UACGUAGGGGGCAAGCGUUGUCCGGAAUCAUUGGGCGUAAAGAGCGUGUAGGCGGCUCGGUAAGUCCGCUGUGAAAGUCCAGGGCUCAACCCUGGAAUGCCGGUGGAAACUGUCGAGCUAGAGUAUCGGAGAGGUUGGUGGAAUUCUCGGUGUAGAGGUGAAAUUCGUAGAUAUCGAGAGGAACACCGGUGGCGAAGGCGGCCAACUGGACGAAUACUGACGCUGAGACUCGAAAGCGUGGGGAGCAAACAGG